UACAGAGGUCUCAAGCGUUGUUCGGAAUCACUGGGCGUAAAGGGUGCGUAGGCUGCACGGUAAGUCAGAUGUGAAAUCCCAAGGCUCAACUCUGGAAUUGCAUCCGAUACUGCCGUGCUUGAGGACUGGAGAGGAGUCUGGAAUUCAUGGUGGAGCAGUGAAAUGCGUAGAUAUCAUGAGGAACGCUAGUGGCGUAGGCGAGACUCUGGACAGUUCCUGACGCUGAGGCACGAAGGCCAGGGGAGCAAACGGG
rnacentral:rRNA from 1 species